rnacentral:lncRNA from 1 species
GAUACAUUCUAUUUUUAAACCUCAUCAAUUUCAUUAAGAAUAGGAUCACAAUUAUGGUUAACACACACAUGUUCCAGAAACACUUCCACGUGCUUUACCUGUAGUAACUGUUUUAAAUUCUCAGGUGAGGAAUUUGACCACCCUCAUUUAACUAGCAAGUGGCAGAGUCAGAACUUGAGCAAAACAUUUUGGCUCUGCAGUCUGUGCUUUGAACCUUAAGGCUGUACUGACCAGGUUGCCUUAUCACACUCUUCUGCAACACCAUUUUUAGGUACUACUCAGCAUUCCAUUGCUUGGAUAAAUAAUAAUUACUUCAUAAAUCUCCUAUGAGUGGACAUCUAGCCCAUUGGUAUUUUCUCCCUACUAAGCAAUGUUAAGCUCUACCACCCUGAAAGCGCCCGAUCCCAUCCAAGCAAUGUUGAGCUGAAUCUAAUUAGAGCCCAUUUUUGUGCCAUCUGAUGAUCUCCCUAAAUUAAGGAUGUGCAUUUUUACCAUGGCUACUUAGAGGUGUUAUGUAGCACUCCCCACCCUCCUGCAUCUAGGGCAGGCCUCAAACAAGGCUGCAGCUCCAUCUUGCUCUGACAUUUCUCCACUGGCACCCACCAAGGUGUUACAUUUCCUGUCUUGAGGUUUCACAUCCUGCCCCUUAAACCACCCACAGUGCUCCACCCUUUGGGGUUCCGUAGGAAACAUCUCACACAAACACUCACUGAGCCAUGUGUCUCAGGCCAACAAACUUCUAAUCUAGCAGUGGGGGAAUACAGGGGUAACAAAUUACAUCAAUUACAAGUUGAUAUCACUAACUGAUGCUGGCUGGAAGCAUUUCUCAGCUUUCCUGGCACUGCCACUUUUAUCUCCUUUCAAUGACUCUCCAUUUCCUGACUUUACACUGUCCUUUUUCUUAGGUUGAACCACAAGGACCUGCUGACCUACAAAACCACUUGACCUACAAAAAUGGAAAUUUCACCUGGUUCCAUCUAACAAGGCUGAGAUGUUUAUUUCCCCAGUGGAGAACAUGGCAACAAUUUGUCAUGCUGGGAAGCUAUUCAAACAUCUGUUAAACCUUUCCUAUAUUGAGGGAAAUGUCCACCUUUUAAAUCCUGGUUUCCAGAGCAUUAUGCCAGAAACUCACUUUCCCUGACUUCCUUGAGACUAAAAUAAAUGAAUGUGCCCCUGUUUCCUCCAGUCAGAUGCAAGAUUUUUGAUGCAGCAGAGAACAACAGGAAGAGCUAUUCUGCCUUUGAAGAGAGGUGGGGGCUGAAAUGGGGAGAAAAAUCUAGGGUGCUUUAAAGUUCUAUUUCCUCACCAGGAUGGCUGAUUAUAUGAAAGCUUGCUAUGUAAUAAUUCUUUUAGAUUUUGUGCAUUUUUUGCAUGGGUGCUAUUCUUUCUUUCUUUCUUUCUUUUUGUCUUUUUAUAUUUUUAGAGCCGCACCAGCAGCACAUGGAGAUUCCCAGGCUAGGGGUCUAAUCGGAGCUAUAUCCUCCGGACUAUACCGUAGCUCACAGCAAUGCCGGAUCCUUAACCCACUGAGUGAGGCCAGGGAUUGAACCCACAACCUCAUGGUUCCUAGUCAGAUUCGUUUCUGCUACACCAUGAUGGGAACUCCCUGCAUGGGUGCUAUUCUUUUUUUAAAAAAAAUUUUAUUAUAGUGGAUUUACAAUGUUGUGUCAAUUUCUGCUGUACAGCAAAGUAACCCAAUUACACAUAUAUACAUAUACAUUCUUAUUUUCACAUUAUCAUCCACCAUGUUCUAUCACAAGUGAUCAGAUAUACUUCCUUGGGCUAUACAGCAGAAUCUCAUUGCUUAUCCAUUCCAAAUGCAACCCAUGUUCAUUGCAGUACUAUUCACAAUAGCCAAGAUGUGGAAACAACCGAAAUGUCCAUUGACAUGAAAAAAUUAAGAAGAUGUGGUCCAUGUAUACAAUGGAAUACUACUCAGCCAUAAAAAAGAAUGAAAUAACAGCAUUUGCAACAACAUGGUUGCAACUAGAGAUUCUCAUACUAAGUGAAAGAAGUCAGAAAGAGAAGAACAAAUAUCAUAGGAUAUCACUUUUAUGUGGAAUCUAAAAUAUGGCACAAACGAACCUAUCUACAAAGGAGAAACAGACUCACAGACACAGAGAACAGACUUGUGGUUGCCAAGGGGGAGGGGGAGGGGGAGGAAGUGGAAUGGAGUGGGGGUUUGGGGUUAAAAAAUGCAAACUGUUACAUUUAGAAUGGAUAAGCUAUGAGGUCCUGCUGUGUAGCACAGGGAACUAUAUCCAAUCACUUGUGAUAGAACAUGAUGAAAGGUAAUAUGAGAACAAGAAUGUAGGAGUUCCUGUUGUGGCACAGUGGAAAUGAAUCCAACUAGUAUCCAUAAAGAUGAGGAUCAGUGGGUCAGGGAUCUGGUGUUGCCAUGAGCUAUGGUGCAGGUCUCAGACACAGCUCGGAUCCUGAGUUGCUGUGGCUGUAGCAUAGGACUAUAGCUGUAGCUCUGAUUUGACCCCUAGCCUGGGAACUUCCAUAUGCCAAAGGUGUGGCCCUAAAAAGCAAAAAUAAUAAUAACAAUGUGUGUGUGUGUUUUAUAUAUAUAUAUGACUUGGUCAUUAUGCUACACAGCAGAAAUUAGCACAGCACUGUAAAUCAACUACACUUUAACCAAAAAAAUUUUUAAAAGACUGGUUGGGACCCCUGACACUCCAACCUGGCAUGCACAGGUAUUCACUCAGUGACCUUUUGAAAUGACAAGGCCAAAAACUGCAUCCUCAGAUUGUGCUAAAUGCCUCCAUUUUUUAACAUAUGGAGGCCUGUAGUGUAGUUACAUGUGCGUGGAACACAAGUACCAUAGCUUUUCUCAAUUACCUUUUCUCACACUCCCUGUGCCUCAGACUGUCCUGCUUUCUUUUUUCCCCAGGCCCUGGCCUCCAGGGAGGCAGAUGUGAGAUUUGUUCUCCCAUCUCCAUGGUUGGCUGCCUGGUGAAUAAAUGCUUUCUUUGCUGCAAACCCUGGUGGCUCAGAGCUUUGGCCUUCAAAACUUAGUUUGCUAACACUCUAAUCGACUAUUUUUACCUCCUCUGAAAAUCAUAAAUUUUCCUACAUUAAUCCCCACUAUUUUUCCUUCCCUCACUGCACCCCAGAAAAUACAUGUGGACACACCAUCACCACCGCAACCCAGGAUACCCAGGAAUGUGUAAAAGUUGUGACACACUCAAGUGUCACUGGAAGGUAACCUUCCCGGGCAGAGAUGUUUGUCUCGUGUUCAGUUGCUCCAUCACAGCAUCUAGAAUGGUGCCCAGCGCAUAUUAAGUACCCAGUCGAAAUCUGUAAAAUGAGCAAGUACCCUGCCCUCAAAUGCUUUUGUCUGUUUGUUCAUCCAUCAAAGAACCAGUGCUUUUGGAGAGUGACAUGCUGGUAAAGGCUCUGGGCUGCGUGUAGGGGAUGUCAACGUGCUUAAGGCACAGGUCUGCCCAUGAACAAUUCGGAAUGAACCGCUUACUCCAGAAAUAUUGCUACCAACCCUCAGAAUAUAUUUUGUCAUCUCUAUAAGCCCACCUGGAACUUCUCUUAAUGAAGAUGAGGGACAGUGCAGGUAGGAGGGGUGGUGUUUUGUUUAGUUUAGUUUAGUUUUGUUUUGUUUUAAUCAAGAAGGAAUGGGAGUUCCUGUCGUGGCGCAGUGGUUAACGAAUCCGACUAGGAACCAUGAGGUCGCAGGUUCGGUCCCUGCCCUUGCUCGGUGGGUUAACGAUCCAGCGUUGCUAUGGCUCUGGCGUAGGCCGGUGGUUACAGCUCCGAUUAGACCCCUAGCCAGGGAACCUCCAUAUGCCAAGGGAGCAGCCCUAGAAAAGUCAAAAAGACAAAAAAAAAAAAAAAGAAGGAAUGAAGGAAUGUCUUCCCUCCAUUGAUCUCAGUUUCAGGCCAGACAGGAAGGAAGUAGCAAUAAUGCAGGAUGGUGGAUGAGAUAGUCAGGAAUGUACCCAUGUGUUUGGUCUAUGCUAGUGCCUUGACUCAAUGGUUGCGAACCAACUUUGACUAUGAGUAAGGCAAUAUCAGGGGCAGGGGGUGACCAGUAAUCAGACCUUUUCACACUCGCCAGUGGCUUUUCUGCCUGCUGUAUGAUCUGGCCUCUAUAUGGUCCUCACCCCUGUAUGAUUUGGCCUUGCCUGCAUCUCUGACCACCCUCAGACCUCCUCCUCACCAACUCUAUGCCCUCCAACAUUAAGCUUGUCCCACCUGUGGUCCAUUCUUCAAUCAGUCCCUCUUCUAGAAUGUUCUCUCCACUGAUGUUGUUUUUAUUGGUUCCUUUUGUAUCAUUGAAAAUCAACUUAAAUGAGUUCCCUUGGCCACCCAAACAAAGGUAGUCCUUUCACCAUUUCUUUCCGUGUGUGGCAAUUUGGGAUGUUUUCAUAUCUGGCAUUUUUCUUGUGUUUAUCGUUCAUCCUCCAUCUUCUUCCCUUCUCCCUUAUUUCCUUCCUUCUCUCUCUCUCUUUUUGUCUACCUUCUCCACUAGAUUCUUAGCUCCAUGAAAACAAAAGCUUUUUGGAUCCAAUUCACUGGAGUCCAAGACAAUGCUUCACAUGCAACAGACACACAAUACACAUUUGCUUAAAGGAAACAUUUAUCUAGAUCUUUGAAAGCUGAGGCUGACAUCACUCCCUUCCAGGAUAGACUAUUACAUGCCAUGUGUUGAGCAAUUUUGGCAGAAUUUUCACAGUCUCAUGGAAACCACAUGUAAGGUAAAAUCUAAGCUUCCUGAGAAAAGUAUGUAUUGAUAUUAUGAUCUGGGCCAUCACUGGCUAACGGAAUGUGAAAAUAAGUGGCCCAUAUAAGGUAAUGGCUAAAAUUCAAGGUGACUAAGAAAUAAGUCAGCAUUACAUUAUUCGGAGCAUUGAAUAUAUCCUUUGUUAAUGUGAAAAUUUUUAAAGUUUGAUGUCCUUCAGACACAGCUCAGGGAACAAUCAUCAAAUAAACAUGCUCCCCUUUCUAAAUGUUCUCCCACACUCUGCUGCACUUAACCCUCAUAGCAGUCCUCGAGAAGGGCCUAUUCCUCAUCACCAUUUUGCAGAUGAAAAAACUAAGCUUAGUGAAAUCAAGCAAUUUGCUCAAAGAUACAGAGCCAAGCCUACCUUCAGAGCAAUUAGGAAUUGUUACCAGGGUUAGAAAUGAGCAACAAGGAGUUCCCAUUGUGGCUCAGUGGGUUAAGAACCCAACGUGGUGAUCAUGAGGAUAUGGGUCUGCAGCUUUGAUUUGACCCCAAGCCCAGGAACUUCCAUAUGCCACAGGUAAGGUUGUAAAAGAAAAAAAGAUAGAAAGAAAUAAAUGAGCAAGAAUAAUAAAGCAUGUGGGUUAAGAGGAAUCCUUGAGACAUUUUUUUUAAUUGCUUUUUUUUUUUGGUUUACAGCACAACUCCAGAAAAAAAUUCUAAGCCACUCCAAGGUCAGAAGACGAUGACUCUGUUCCCAGCUCUGCAGCCAACCAGCUGUGCAGCUAUGACAGUGAAUGAGUCUUUCGAGAUUAUAGAUGAGAAAGACCACAGACGGUAUGAAAGAGUCUAUUUGGCUCAAGAUAUUUUUCAGCAAAAUGCUCAGACUCUAAAAGCUCCUGGUGCAUUCCUGGUUGCUUUUAAAACAUCAGCCUAAUCAAACCAACAGCAGCUAAGUGAGAGAGAAAAAGAGUCUGAGAUACUUACAAGAUGAUUUGGCAAUAAAUAACAGAAAAGACCUAGAAGAAUAUUAUUCUGCUGUUAAAGUUAUUCUGAGGCCAUUUUGCACAGAAUUUUUUAAACAUUAGGUAAUUUUUUAAACAUUCGCAUAUAGUUAUAAAAGCAUUGGGUAGAAAGAAUUCACAUUCUAAUUGUUUCCAAAGUGUCAUGUUCAACAUUGGGUAGGACACACAAAAGAUGCCAAGAGAGCAUUUGCCUUGCCAGUGAGAUUAGUAGAACCAACACAGGAAACCAUCCAUCCAAAGAGUCAUCCCAAUCAUCACAAUAAUGAAUUAAUAACUUGAAAGUUUAUAUUUUCUGAAAGCUUCUGCUUAAGUCAGAGAGUCAUCAGAGCUUUAUUUCCAGAACAAUGGAACAGGGAACUUUGUUUUCCUUCUGGCCAGGCUAAAUGGGGCGGUUCUCAGGAUCUUAGAUUCACAGAUUAUUUUUAUGAGGGCUUAAGAAAGAGAAACAAGGAGUUCCCAUUGUGGCACAGUGGUUAACGAAUCUGACUAGGAACCAUGAGGUAGCGGGUUCAAUCCCUGCCCUUGCUCAGUGGGUUGACAAUCUGGUAUUGCCGUGAGCUGUGGUGUAGGCUGCAGACGUGGCUCGGAUCCCGCGUUGCUCUGGCGUAGGCCAGCAGCUAUAGCUCCGAUUAGACCCC